GAUGAACGCUGGCGGCGUGCCUAAUACAUGCAAGUCGAGCGAACAGACGAGGAGCUUGCUCCUCUGACGUUAGCGGCGGACGGGUGAGUAACACGUGGAUAACCUACCUAUAAGACUGGGAUAACUUCGGGAAACCGGAGCUAAUACCGGAUAAUAUAUUGAACCGCAUGGUUCAAUAGUGAAAGACGGUUUUGCUGUCACUUAUAGAUGGAUCCGCGCCGCAUUAGCUAGUUGGUAAGGUAACGGCUUACCAAGGCGACGAUGCGUAGCCGACCUGAGAGGGGGAUCGGCCACACGGGAACUGGGACGCGGUCCAGACUCCUACGGGAGGCAGCAGUAGGGAAUCUUCCGCAAUGGGCGAAAGCCUGACGGAGCAACGCCGCGUGAGUGAUGAAGGUCUUCGGAUCGUAAAACUCUGUUAUUAGGGAAGAACAAAUGUGUAAGUAACUAUGCACGUCUUGACGGUACCUAAUCAGAAAGCCACGGCUAACUACGUG
rnacentral:rRNA from 1 species